GAGAAGACUCUUGAGAGUCCCUCGGACUGCAAGGAGAUCAAACCAGUCCAUCCUAAAGGAAACCAACCCUGAAUAUUCACUGGAAGGACUGAUGCUGAAGCUGAAGCUCCAAUACUUGGGCCCCUUGAUGUGAAGAGCCAACUCAUCAAAAAAAGACCCUGAUGCUGGGACAGAUUGAGCGCAGGAGGAGAAGCGGGCAACAGAGGACGAUAUUGUUGGAUGGCAUCAUCGACUCAGGUUCAGCUCAAAUACAUUCUUCUGCCUGACACCCAAGCAGGUAACUCUUUCUCUGCAAUCAAAUGGCGCACAUCCAUAUCAUCUCACUUAUGGACAGAUUGUGAAUGACUUCACUUAUAAGAAAAAAAGAAAAUGCACAAGGUAAUGGAAAGAAAAAUAUAGACAAAGAAAAAAGCAAGCAAGCAGAGUAAAUUAUUUGACAGAAAGCAUCCUGCCUCCCCUUCUCACACCCAAAAUAAAAGCAGCUGAGAGAAGGAAGAGGAUACAAGAAGAGAUAGUGACACUAUAAAAAGAACGAAGAGGCAAUAUUUCACUCAGGGCUCUAUUGCUUUUAUUAACUGUGAGACAGAUUCACUCAGAACUUUUAAUUCUUCAAAUAACAGGCAUCAUAAACACCAUUAUCUGUUUGCUUGUGCCUGUAGCAUUUACUGUAAUUCCUCAGAUGAAAACCUCAGCUUCUAAUAUUACAGGACAAGGAUGGAGUGAGA